GAUGAACGCUGGCGGCGUGCCUAACACAUGCAAGUCGAACGGAGAUUACGGACGGAAGUUUUCGGAUGGAAGACUGUAAUUCUUAGUGGCGGACGGGUGAGUAACGCGUGGGCAACCUGCCCUAUACAGGGGGAUAGCAGCUGGAAACGGCUGGUAAGACCGCAUAAGUCGGCGAGACCGCAUGGUUUUGCCGGGAAAUGAGCAAUCAGGUAUAGGAUGGGCCCGCGUCCGAUUAGCCAGUUGGCAGGGUAAAAGCCUACCAAAGCAACGAUCGGUAGCCGGACUGAGAGGUCGGACGGCCACAUUGGGACUGAGACACGGCCCAAACUCCUACGGGAGGCAGCAGUGGGGGAUAGUGCACAAUGGAGGAAACUCUGAUGCAGCGACGCCGCGUGAGUGAAGAAGUAUUUCGGUAUGUAAAGCUCUAUCAGCAGGGAAGAUGAUGACGGUACCUGACUAAGAAGCCCCGGCUAACUACGUG
rnacentral:rRNA from 1 species